GUAAAUUUAAAUGCAGUCCAGAGUAGUGAAGGCCGUUUGUAAGGUCUGCUGAGCUAAUGGAUUCAUAAUGACUUUUAAAGCUUCACUCGGUACAUCCUAUGUGCCAGACACUGCGAUAGGUUCUGGAGAUAACAACAGUGUCCAAGAAACAACAGUGUCCAAGAAACAGGACUUUCCCUCAAAGAGCUUACUGGGGAAGCCAGCAAGACCAGCAGACAAACACAGCUGCACUGGGGGAGAGCCUGCUGAAGCUGCUUGAAUCUCAACACUGUCAUACCCGCCAUCUCAUUAUCUACAGCCACAUCUAAAACCCACAUGAAAUACCAAGUCACACGCGGCUCUGGGAAAGACAUUUUACAGAGACCAUCUUAUGAGUUUUUAAUCUGCCUCCUGAGAACUUACAAUCUAAGAAAUAGAAAACUGAUUCCAGUAAGCAUGCCCAGAAUAUGCUAGCAGCAAGAUUAAAACAUGAAACUAUGAAUGUUAAGAAGAACAAUUUUUAAAAAAUCAUUGGACAUCAAACCAAAACAAAUCAUGGUGCCUCCACACAAUGGGAUAUUCCUCAGCAGUAGAAAGGAAUGGACUACUGAUCACGCAGUAAUGAUGACGAAUGUCAAUGUAAUUAUGCCAAGUGAAAGAAGCCAGCCAAAAGGUUCAUAUUAUGUGAUUUUAUUUAUAUGAAGUAUUUUUUAAAAAGGCAAACUAGUCUUUCAAGACAAAAAGCAGAUCCCUGGGUACU
rnacentral:lncRNA from 1 species